GCUGGGCUGAAGCAAAUGGGAUGGGAUUCAACAAGACCAAAUGCCGGGUCCUGCACUUUGGCCACAAUAACCCCAGGCAACGCUGCAGGCUUGGGGCAGAAUGGCUGAAAGACUGUGUAGAGGAAAUGGACUUGGGGGUGUUGAUUGACGCUAGACUGAACAUGAGCCAGCAGUGUGCCCAGGUGGCCAAGAAGGCCAAUGGCAUCCUGGCUUGCAUCAGAAACAGUGUGGUCAGCAGGAACAGGGAAGUAAUUGUCCCCCUGUACUCUGCACUGGUGAGGCCACACCUUGAGUACUGUGUCCAGUUUUGGGCCCCUCACUGCAAGAAAGACAUCGAGGCCCUGUAGUGUGUCCAGAGGAGGGCAACCAAGCUGGUGAGGGGUCUGGAGCACAGGCCUUAUGAAGAGCAGCUGAAGGAACUGGGAUUGUUCAGUCUAGAGAAGAGGAGGCUUGGGGAAGACCUCAUUGCUCUCUAUAACUACCUGAAGGGAGGUUGUACUGAGCUGGGGGUUGGCCUCUUCUCUUGUGUGACUAGUGAUAGGACGAGAGGGAAUGGCUUCAAGCUGCGCCAGGGAAGAUUCAGGCUGGACGUUAGGAAAUACUACUUCUCUGAAAGGGUGGUCAGGCACUGGAAUGGGCUGCCCAGGGAGAGGUGGUGGAGUCACCGACCCUGGUGGUGUUCAAAGAGUGUUUGGAUGUUGUGUUGAGGGACAUGGUUUAGCAGGAACCAUUGAUGAAGGGAGGAUGGUUGGACUGGAUGAUCCUGUGGGUCUUUUCCAACCUUGGUGAUUCUAUGAUUCUAUGACACUUGGGUUUUCUAGUUUGGAGAAAAGGAGACUAAGCAGUGGCUUCAUAGCUCUCUGCAACUUCUUUAGGGGAACUGGAGAAGAACGUGUUGGUCUCUUCCUGGUAACUGAGGACAGGAUGCAUGGGAGUGGUGCAAAACUGUGGCAGAAGAAGCUCAAGCUGGACAUUAGGAAAAGUGUAUUUACUGUGAGAAUGGUCAAACCUUGGAACAGGCUUCUUUGAGAGGUUGUUGAUGCCCUAUGCUUGUCAGUAUUCAAGAGGCAUUUAGAUAAUGCCUUCUAUAACAUGCUUUAACUUUUGGUUGAAUUUUGCCUGAAUUUGUGAG
ensembl:lncRNA